GUCUUUUUGAAUAAAUAAAAAGUUUGGCCUGCCCGGUGAUAUUUUAACGGCCGCAGUAUUUUGACUGUGCAAAGGUAGCAUAAUCCAUUGUCUUUUAAUUAAAGGCUAGUAUGAAUGGUUGGAUGAGAUAUCAACUAUUUUUAUUUUAAUAAAAAUGAAUUUUAAUUUUUAGUAAAAAUGCUAAAAUAAAAAAAUUAGACGAGAAGACCCUAUAAAUCUUUAUUUUUAAAUAAUAAUAUUAAUUUUGUAAAUUUUUUAAUAAUUAUUUUUUAAAAAAUUUUAUUGGGAGGAUAAUGAAAUUUAAUAAACUUUUAUUCUAAUUUAUAAAUAUAAUUAAAUUAAUGAAUAUAUUAUAAUGUUUAAAAAAUUAAGUUACUUUAGGGAUAACAGCGUAAUUAUUUUAAAGAGUUCUUAUCGACAAAAUAGUUUGCGACCUCGAUGUUGAAUUAAGAAUUAAUUUAGGUGCACAAAUUUAAAUUUUAAGUCUGUUCGACUUUUAAAUU
rnacentral:rRNA from 1 species